CCAGGCAGACCCUGCCAGGAGGGCGUGGGCGAAGCGUGCGGCCCGAGGAGCCCGGCGUUCUCAAGAGAAUAAUGCUGAGCACGGGACCACAGCCCGGUGACCAAAGGACAUUCCCUGCAGGCGAGGCAGCCUCCAUUGCCAUGCGACGUGGAUUCUCAUCCCCAGAUGCCGGAGAGAUAAGUGGAGGGCUAAGGCCCACAGAGGGGGUGAAAGCGGGGUGCUGGGAGGGCCUUUAGGAUCAGCUUUUGGGGCAGGGAUGUGCAAGAAGUGUCCCCUUAGGCCAGCUAAAGGCAAAGUGUCUGUUUUGAUCUCAGUGCUGAGGCGCUCAGGGCAGAGCAGUGCUGGUGUGUGUCCUGUCACUUGUCUCUGGUGCACUCUGUGUUCUUUGGGUCUCUCAGUCCUUUCUUCUCCUCAAAAGCUCUCUCUUCCUGUCCUGUGUCACAGGUGUCUGCACAUGUUAUCCCACAGCUGCUCUGCCCUGCUGCAUAGCCUGUAAUAGCACAAGUCCUGGGGACUUGAAAUUUGUAAUGCAGGGUGUACUUGGGCUCUAGAUUGGAUUAGGAGAUUGACAUAACAUGUUUGGUGCUGUUGAGUUGUCCUGCAGCUGUUUGACACUAGUCCUAACUUCCUUUCAGAUGCAGACAGUUCAGAUCCGUGGCAGAGAGCCCCAGUCCUGGGAGGUCCAGGCAGAUAGCAGCAGUCAAGGCCCUGUGUGCCAGGCAGUCUUCUUGCAAGAUGUCUCUGGUCCGGAUGUCCAAGGCCAGGUGGGUGCAAGCGUAAUGUCUGGGUGGGUGUGCUUUUCAGGUCAGGGGGAUGUUGUUUUCACAGUAUCUCAGUGUGGGUUUUUUUGCUUUGUUUUUUUGCAGGUGCUGUCUCUGCCCUAGCUGUGUGAAGGAACAGAGGCGAGCGGGUGAGUUGGCAUUUUGGCACAGUGACUCACAGGUGACCCUUAUGCAGCAGCAUGCUAAGUGUGUACUUUAUGUUUUUCAGGUAUCCUCCAGGCAGCCUGUGGAGUCAAAUUGAGACUUCAGGUGAGCUGGGGCAGCGGUGUGUCGGAGUUUUGGGGAUUCCUCUUUUCGUGGGCACUGGUUGCAUUUUCUGUUUUGUCUUAGGUACCCUGAGGAGGAGCGUAGCUGAAGUUUGUUAACGGCAGCACCGAAGCGGAUGUACAGAACGUCUUGUCGUCCACAUCGAACUGACAUUGGAUUCCAUCCGGUUGUCUUGCAAAAGCUAAGUGCUGGGGCCAGUAGGUGGGAGAUGGGGGGAAAACCUUUACUAUCACAGGAGGCUAUUUGAUGUUAGCUUGGAGAAUAGGCCCAUAGUGGGACGGGCCCCUCGGGAGCAAAGGGAGAGGGUUUCUCCUCAG
ensembl:lncRNA